rnacentral:rRNA from 1 species
UAGGGAAUAUUGGGCAAUGGAGGGAACUCUGACCCAGCCAUGCCGCGUGCAGGAUGAAGGCGUUAUGCGUUGUAAACUGCUUUUAUAUAGGAAGAAAUAGUCCUUGCGAGGAAAGUUGACGGUACUAUAUGAAUAAGCACCGGCUAACUCCGUGCCAGCAGCCGCGGUAAUACGGAGGGUGCAAGCGUUGUCCGGAUUUAUUGGGUUUAAAGGGUGCGUAGGCGGUUUAUUAAGUCAGUGGCGAAAGACGGUCGCUCAACGAUUGCAGUGCCAUUGAUACUGGUAGACUUGAGUAUGAUUGAGGUAGCUGGAAUGGAUAGUGUAGCGGUGAAAUGCAUAGAUAUUAUCCAGAACACCAAUUGCGUAGGCAAGUUACUAAGUCAUAACUGACGCUGAGGCACGAAAGUGUGGGUAUCAAACAGGAUUAGAUACCCUCGUAGUCCCUGAGCGGGCUGGCAAGGCGCAU